GAAAUGCUACAGAGCUCCCACUCACUUUCUUGUAAACGCAGGCUUCUCCAUAAGUCUGCGUAAAUCCAAACGCUUUGAUCAUCUCAUCAAAGCGAAUGUUCCAACUCCGAGAUGCUUGCACCAGCCCAUAAAUCGAGCGUUGGAGCUUGCACACCUUGUCAGCAUUCUUAGGAUCGACAAAACCUUUCGGCUGCAUCAUAUACAAUUCUUCCUUAAGGAAACCAUUAAGGAAUGCCGUUUUGACGUCCAUUUGCCAUAUCUCAUAAUCAUAGUAUGCGGCAACUGCUAACAUUAUUCGGACGGACUUCAGCUUCGCUACCGGUGAGAAAGUCUCAUCGUAGUCAACCCCUUGAACUUGUCGAUAACCCUUAGCGACAAGCCGAGCUUUAAAGAUGGUCACAUUACCAUCCGCGUCUGUCUUUUUCUUAAAGAUCCAUUUAUUUUCUAUGGCUCGUCGCUCAACAGGCAAGUCAGUCAAAGUCCACACUUCGUUUUCAUACAUGGAUCCUAUCUCGGAUUUCAUGGCUUCUAGCCAUUUGUCGGAAUCCGGGUCCGCCAUCGCUUCUUCAUAGUUCGAAGGUUCAUCGUUGUCUAACAACAUGAUUUCCAAGACAGGGUUGCCGUACCACUCUGGUGCGGAACGUGUCCUUGUGGACCUACGAAUUUCAGUAGGAGCUUGAUCAGAAGUAUCUUGAUCAUCAUCAUUAACUUCCUUUCUAGUCGGUGCAGGCACCUCAGGAACAUUUUCUUGAGUUGCGCCCUUUUCUGGUUCAAGAGGUAGUACUUCAUCAAGUUCUACUUUUUUCCCACUCACUUCUUUCGAGAGAAACUCCUUCUCUAGAAAGGAUCCAUUCUUGGCAACAAAGAUCUUGCUUUCGGAUCUGAGGUAGAAGGUAUACCCAAUGGUUUCUUUAGGGUAUCCUAUGAAGACGCAUUUUUUCGACUUGGGUUCGAGCUUUUCAGGUUGAAGUUUCUUGACAUAAGCAUCGCAUCCCCAAACUUUUAGAAACGAUAACUUAGGUUUCUUCCCAAACCAUAAUUCAUACGGUGUCGUCUCAACGGAUUUCGACGGAGCCCUAUUUAAAGUGAAUGCGGCAGUCUCUAAAGCAUAGCCUCAAAAUGACAGUGGUAAAUCGGUAAGAGACAUCAUAGAUCGCACCAUAUCUAAUAGAGUGCGAUUACGACGUUCGGACACACCAUUACGCUGAGAUGUUCCAGGCGGCGUGAGUUGUAAAACUAUUCCACAUUUUCUUAAGUGUGUGCCAAAUUCAUGACUCAAGUAUUCUCCUUCACGAUCUAAUCACAAAAACUUGAUUUUUCUAUCACGUUGAUUCUCAACCUCACUCUGAAAUUUCUUGAACUUUUCAAAGGUCUCAGACUUGUGUUUCAUUAAGUAGACAUAUCCAUAUCUACUCAAGUCAUCAGUGAGGGUGAGAACAUAACGAUAGCCACCGCGAGCCUCAACACUCAUUGGACCGCACACAUCAGUAUGUAUGAUUUCCAAUAAGUUGGUUGCUCGCUCCAUUGUUUCUGAGAACGGAGUCUUGGUCAUUUUACCCAUGAGGUAUGGUUCGCACGUGUCAAAUGAUUCAUAAUCAAGAGACUCUAAAAGUCCAUCUGCAUGGAGCCUCUUCAUGCGUUUGACACCUAUGUGACCAAGGCGGCAGUGCCACAAGUAUGUGGGACUAUCAUUAUCAACCUUACAUCUUUUGGUACUCACACUAUGAACAUGUGUAGCAUUACGCUCGAGAUUCAUUAAGAAUAAACCAUUCACCAUCGGAGCAUGACCAUAAAACAUAUCUCUCAUAUAAAUAGAGCAACCAUUAUUCUCGGAUUGAAAUGAGUAGCCAUCUUGAAUUAAACGAGAUCCCGAUACAAUGUUCAUGCUCAAAGCUGGCACUAAAUAACAAUUAUUAAGGUUUAAAACUAAUCCCGAAGGUAAAUGUAGAGGUAGCGUGCCGACGGCGAUCACAUUGACCUUGGAACCAUUCCCGACGCGCAUCACCACCUUGUCCUUUGCCAGUCUCCGCUUAUUCCGCAGCCCCUGCUUUGAGUUACAAAUGUGAACAACUGCACCGGUAUCAAAUACCCAGGAGCUACUACGAGUACUGGUAAGGUACACAUCAAUUACAUGUAUAUCACAUAUACCUUUUGUUUUGCCGGCCUUCUUGUCCGCUAAGUAUUUGGGGCAGUUUCGCUUCCAGUGACCACUUCCCUUGCAAUAAAAGCACUCAGUCUCGGGCCUGGGUCCAUUCUUUGGCUUCUUCCCGGCAGCUUGCUUGCCGGGCGCGGCAACUCCCUUGCCGUCCUUCUUGAAGUUCUUUUUACCCUUGCCCUUCUUGAACUUAGUGGUUUUAUUCACCAUCAAUACUUGAUGUUCCUUCUUGACUUCUACUUCUGCUGAUUUCAGCAUUGAAAAUACUUCAGGAAUGGUCUUUUCCGUCCCCUGCAUAUUGAAGUUCAUCACAAAGCUCUUGUAGCUUGGUGGAAGCGACUUGAGGAUUCUGUCAAUGACCGCAUCAUCCGGGAGAUUAACUCCCAGCUGAGUCAAGCGGUUAUGUAACCCAGACAUAGUGAGUAUGUGCUCACUGACAGAACUAUUCUCCUCCAUCUUACAGCUGAAGAACUUGUCGGAGACUUUAUAUCUCUCGACCCGGACAUGAGCUUGAAAAACCAUUUUCAGCUCUUCGAACAUCUCAUAUGCUCCAUGUCUCUCAAAACGCUUUUGGAGCCCCGGCUCUAAGCUGUAAAGCAUGCCGCACUGAACGAGGGAGUAGUCAUCAACACGUGUCUGCCAAGCGUUCGUAACGUCUUGGUUCUGUGGGACGGGUGUGUCACCUAGCGGUGCUUGUAGGACAUAUUCUUUCUUGGCAGCUAUGAGGAUGAUCCUCAGGUUUCGGACCCAGUCCGUAUAGUUGCCGCCAUCGUCUUUCAGCUUGGUUUUCUCUAGGAACGCGUUGAAGUUGAGGACUACAUUGGCCAUUUGAUCUACAAGACAUAUUGUAAAGAUUUAGACUAAGUUCAUGAUAAUUAAGUUCAUCUAAUCAAAUUAUUCAAUGAACUCCCACUUAGAUAGACAUCCCUCCAGUCAUCUAAGUAUAACAUGAUCCGAGUUAACUAGGCCGUGUCCGAACAUCACGUGAGACGGACUAGUCAACAUCGGUGAACAUCUUCAUGUUGAUCGUAUCUUCUAUACGACUCAUGCUCGACCUUUCGGUCUUCUGUGUUUCGAGGCCAUGUCUGUACAUGCUAGGCUCGUCAAGUCAACCUAAGUGUUUGCAUGUGUAAAUCUGUCUUACACCCGUUGUAUGUGAACGUCGGAAUCUAACACACCCGAUCAUCACGUGGUGCUUCGGAACAACGAACUGUCGCAACGGUGCACAGUUAGGGGAAACACUUUCUUGAAAUUAUUAUGAGGGAUCAUCUUAUUUACUACCGUCGUUCUAAGUAAACAAGAUGCAAAACAUGAUAAACAUCACAUGCAAUCAAAUAAUAAUAGUGACAUGAUAUGGCCAAUAUCACAUAGCUCCUUUGAUCUCCAUCUUGGGGCUCCAUGAUCAUCUUGUCACCGGCAUGACACCAUGAUCUCCAUCAUCAUGAUCUCCAUCAUCGUGUCUCCAUGAAGUUGCUUGCCAACUAUUACUUCUACUACUAUGACUAACGCGUUUAGCAAUAAAGUAAAGUAAUUUACAUGCCGUUUCUCAAUGACACGCAGGUCAUACAAAAAAUAAAGACAACUCAUAUGGCUCCUGCCGGUUGUCAUACUCACCGACAUGCAAGUCGUGAUUCCUAUUACAAUAGCAUGAACAUCUCAUACAUCACAUAUAUAUCAUUCAUCAUUCAUCACAACUUUGGCCAUAUCACAUCACAAAACACUUGCUGCAAAAACAAGUUAGACGUCCUCUAAUUGUUGUUGCAAGUUUUACGUGGCUGCAAUAGGGUUCUAGCAAGAACGUUUUCUUACCUACGUGAAAGCCACAACUUGAUUUGUCAACUUCUAUUUACCCUUCAUAAGGACCCUUUUCAUCGAAUCCGCUCCAACUAAAGUAGGAGAGACAGACACCCGCCAGCCACCUUAUGCAACUAGUGCAUGUUAGUCGGUGGAACCGGUCUCACGUAAGCGUACGUGUAAGGUUGGUCCGGGCCGCUUCAUCCCACAAUACCGUUGAAGCAAGAUAAGACUAGUAGCGGCAAGAAAGUUGACAACAUCUACGCCCACAACAAAUUGUGUUCUACUCGCGCAAGAAGAACUACGCAUAGACCUAGCUCAUGAUGCCACUGUUGGGGAACGUUGCAGAAAACAAAAAAAUUUCUACGAUUUCACCAAGAUCCAUCUAUGAGUUCAUCUAGCAACGAGUGAUUAGAUUGCAUCUACAUACCUUUGUAGAUCACGCGCGGAAGCGUUCAAAGAUCGGGGAUGAGGAAGUCGUACACAACGUGAUCCAAAUCACCGGAGAUCCUAGCGCCGAACGGACGACACCUCCGCGUUCAACACACGUACGGUCAGCGUGACGUCUCCUCCUUCUUGAUCCAGCAAGGGGGAAGGAGAGGUUGAUGAAGAUCCAGCAGCACGACGGCGUGGUGGUGGAUGCAGGGCGUCACAGUAGUAGGGCUUCGCCGUAUACUACGUGAGAGAGAGGUGCAGCAGGGGAGAGGGAGGCGCCAAAGGCUCAAGGGUGCGGCUGCCCCCUCCCUCCCCUUCAUAUAUAUAGGCUCCCCUAGGGGGGGCGCCGGCCCUAGGAGAUGAGAUCUCCUAGGGAGGGCGGCGGCCAGGGCUGGAGUGGCCCCCAAGGCAAGGUGGGGCGCCCCCCACCCCUGGGGUUUCAACCCUAGGCACAUGGGGUGGGCCUAGGGGGGCGCACCAGCCCACUAUGGGCUGGUUCCCCUUCCCACUUUGGCCCAUGGGGCCUUCCGGGAUGGGUGGCCCCACCCGGUGGACCGCCGGACCCUUCCGGUGGUCCCGGUACAAUACCGGUGACCCCGAAACUUGUCCCGAUGGCCGAAACAGCACUUCCUAUAUAUAAUACUUUACCUCCGGACUAUUCUGAAACUCCUCGUGACGUCCGGGAUUUCAUCCGGGACUCCGAACAACAUUCGGGUUACUGCAUAUACAUAUCUUCACAACCCUAGCGUCACCGAACCUUAAGUGUGUAGACCCUACGGGUUCGGGAGACAUGCAGACAUGACCGAGACGACUCUCCGGUCAAUAACCAACAGCGGGAUCUGGAUACCCAUGUUGGCUCCCACAUGCUCCACGAUGAUCUCAUCGGAUGAACCACGAUGUCGAGGAUUCAAGCAACCCCGUAUUCAAUUCCCUUUGCCAGUCGGUAUGUUACUUGCCCGAGAUUCGAUCGUCGGUAUCCCAAUACCUCGUUCAAUCUUGUUACCGACAAGUCACUUUACUCGUAUCGUAAUGCAUGAUCCCGUGACCAGACACUUGGUCACUAUGAGCUCAUAAUGAUGAUGCAUUACCGAGUGGGCCCAGUGAUACCUCUCCGUCAUACGGAGUGAUAAAUCCCAGUCUUGAUCCGUGUCAACCCAACAGAUACUUUCGGAGAUACCCGUAGUAUACCUUUAUAGUCAACCAGUUACGUUGUGACGUUUGGUACACCCAAAGCACUCCUACGGCAUCCAGGAGUUACACGAUCUCAUGGUCUAAGGAAAGGAUACUUGACAUUGGAAAAACUCUAGCAAACGAACUAUACGAUCUUGUGCUAUGUUUAGGAUUGGGUCUUGUCCAUCACAUCAUUCUUCCAAUGAUGUGAUCUCGUUAUCAAUGACAUCCAAUGUCCAUAGUCAGGAAACCAUGACUAUCUGUUGAUCAACGGGCUAGUUAACUAGAGGCUUACUAGGGACAUGUUGGUGUCUGUUAUUCACACAUGUAUUACGAUUUCCGGAUAACACAAUUAUAGCAUGAAUAAAGACAAUUAUCAUGAACAAGGAAAUAUAAUAAUAAUAAUGCUUUUAUUAUUGCCUCUAGGGCAUAUUUCCAACACUUGGAUGGUCAUUCUUGUUGAAUGAUAACCAGGGCAGCUCCACUGUAUAAACAGAUUAAUCUGGUGACAAGAGAUGGCGGGGGUAGAUUAUAUGAUCGAGGAAAGGCAAAUCUGAGCCCACUAUGCAUUGAACCCUGAACCCUUUCUAUUUGUAUUUAAAGGUGUUGCUUAUUUAUGCUCUAGUGUUUAUAGUCGUCUUAUGUGAAUAUUUCUUCUCUCUCAUACCUUUAUUGCAUAUAAGUUGUUCUUGACUUUUAUUGUUUGUUGUUGGUCCUUGAUUUCAUCUGGUUAAGAGUAAGCAAGUUGUCGGUUCAAUGGCUUGUUUUAAUUUGUUGAUAAACCAGCAGAAACCACGGUGUCAUGUUUCUAAUAACAGCGUCUUUAGGCUGGUUAAUGUCUGUAUUGGAGACCAUUACCUUUUAUUUGGCUUGUUUCUUACCAUCUUCCUUGCUUCUCUGGCUGUUUCAUGGUUGGGACGGUGGCGUGGCGUUGGGGCUGUCUUGCGGGUUGGCCGGAGAGAGAGCACACCGAGUGGGCUUCUAAGAUGGCUGAGGGAUUUGUCUAGGGUUUUCUGGUUAAUCCAUUCUGAUUUUGGUCUGCUCAUGCUCUUGGCUUCCGGACCGUGGUGCUCAAGGUGACUCGGCUUUCUUUUCCCUCGGUUCGCCUGCAGUUGAGAUUCCUCCAUCCUUACUACACUGCCUAUGGUUUCUUAGAAGUAAUGGGAAAUGACGAGCUCCUACUUUUUAUGCCAGCUCUAUGACGUAGGUUUGUGUGAGGUGGUCCUUAUGAAGUACAUCGACAAGGCAGAUGGAUUACGCGACUUAUUAGUAUGCUUAGUGAUAAUGGCUCCGUAGUUGCUCUUUUUAAUAUAUUCCUGUUCUUAUUACCUCUUAUGUGUUUUUGCUUUGGUAUCGAACUUCAUGUCGAAUGUCUAUCUUUUGUGUUCGUAUGAACGCACCGAGCUUGAUCCUGCCUUAUAAACUGAUGUUGAUCUUGUACUCCAUUGUGUUUUACUUUUAUCACAAUACAAGCGCGGCGGAGGAGCUGUCUUCUGAGUUGACCGGAGAGGGAGCACAUUGGAGAGGCUUCUGAGAUGGCCAAGGGUUUACUGAUCGAUCCAUCCUGAUUGGGAUCUGUUUGUGGUCCUGGUUGACUGGCUGGUGCGUCGUGCCGUUGCUGGUGCUUGAGGUUGUCUCGCUGGUUUCCUUGCAGUAUCGUCGAUCUGUGCAUCCAGGCACCCCAAGCUUUUCCUCGCGCGAUGGCAUCAGGCGCACGGAGGGAGCUCUUCUCCGUUGAUGUGGUGAACAACGACCGUGAUCUCCGUUCCACGGCGUCACCGGCUAGCAAGUCAACACACAACACGAUUGUAGAGUGGUAAGUCCAGGCACCCCAAGCCUGUCCACGGUGCCACCAAUGAACAAGGCCGAGACAAGCAUCGUAAGGAUCCAGUUAGAAUGAUGACUGAUAUCCUGUUAGAGCAUCUUGGGCUUCACAAGGCCAUCUGAGACUCGGGAUCGAUGAGGCAUUUGACAUGAUAAACAAGUGUCAAAGGUUACUUGUAUGAUCUGAGAUACAUGAGCUCCUUCUCAGAUCAGCUUCAUAAUGUGAUAGCACAUGGCUUUCCUCCUGCCCGUGUCGUGGAUACAUUGACAAACGUGACCCUUAUGAAUAUUGAAGUGAUGGCACAUAACCUUAAGAGCAGAAGCAAUCAUCUGUAGAAGAGGCUGCAUGCCAUAAAAAGACAGUCUUUAGGCGCAACAGCAUGAGGUGUUUGCACCAACUGAUUUCUUCACACCAAGGCCAUGGCGUUGAUCAUCUAUGGACAUCACAGAUCACCUAUUCUAACUCUGGCAAGUACGAGAUGAUAUAUGAUGCCACCAGCUCCUGUGAUGUACCGUGUAAACUACUGUGUGAUCUCCCUCUCAUUUUGUGAACACGUCCCCUUCGACACGUCUAUUCAUACUUUUGCACUCAAUAUUUAUGUGUAUGAACAUUGCAUCCUUUAAUUUACCCUGUAUAUGAACAUUACAUCCUUCAAAUGUGGUGUACUAUAUUUUGG
rnacentral:rRNA from 1 species